rnacentral:rRNA from 1 species
CAGGACUAACGCUGGCGGCGUGCCUAACACAUGCAAGUCGAACGAAUCAUCUUUGUAGCAAUAUAGAAGAUGGUGAGUGGCGCACGGGUGAGUAAUACAUAGAUGAUCUGCCUUUCAGACUGGGACAACUCAGGGAAACUUGAGCUAAUACCAGAUAAGACCACAUGAAGGGAUUCACGUGACCAAAGGGUGAGCAAUCUCCUGCUGGAAGAUGAGUCUAUGUCCUAUCAGUUAGUUGGUGGGGUAAAGGCCUACCAAGACGAAGACGGGUAGCCGGCCUGAGAGGGUGAACGGCCACACUGGAACUGAGACACGGUCCAGACUCCUACGGGAGGCAGCAGUGAGGAAUUUUCCGCAAUGGGCGAAAGCCUGACGGAGCGACGCCCGCGUGAGGGAUGAAGGUUUUCGGAUCGUAAACCUCUUUUAUCAAGGAAAAAGGCUUUAAUGCGAAUAACAUUAAAGUUUGAUUGUACUUAAUGAAUAAGCCCCGGCUAACUACGUGCCAGCAGCCGC